rnacentral:misc_RNA from 1 species
UCUCCGUAGGUGAACCCGCGGAGGGAUCAUUACAGAGUUCAUGCCCUACCGGGUAGAUCUCCCACCCUAUGUUAUUAUUACUUUGUUGCUUUGGCGGGCCGUUAGGCUCCGGCCCGACUACCGGCCCCGGCUGGUAAGCGCCCGCCAGAGGACCCAAAACCCUGAAUAUUAGUGUCGUCUGAGUACUAUAUAAUAGUUAAAACUUUCAACAACGAAUCUCUUGGUUCUG